UGGCUCAGUGGUAGAGUGCUUGCCUUGCAUGCAUGAAGCCCUGGGUUCGAUUCCUCAG
rfam:Dipodomys ordii contig_47623, whole genome shotgun sequence.